rnacentral:rRNA from 1 species
GGGAACGGAUUUCGGGAUUAUUGGGCGUAAAGAGCUCGUAGGCGGUUUGUCGCGUCUGCCGUGAAAGUCCGGGGCUCAACUCCGGAUCUGCGGUGGGUACGGGCAGACUAGAGUGAUGUAGGGGAGACUGGAAUUCCUGGUGUAGCGGUGAAAUGCGCAGAUAUCAGGAGGAACACCGAUGGCGAAGGCAGGUCUCUGGGCAUUAACUGACGCUGAGGAGCGAAAGCAUGGGGAGCGAACAGGAUUAGAUACCCUGGUAGUCCAUGCCGUAAACGUUGGGCACUAGGUGUGGGGGACAUUCCACGUUUUCCGCGCCGUAGCUAACGCAUUAAGUGCCCCGCCUGGGGAGUACGGCCGCAAGGCUAAAACUCAAAGGAAUUGACGGGGGCCCGCACAAGCGGCGGAGCAUGCGGAUUAAUUCGAUGCAACGCGAAGAACCUUACCAAGGCUUGACAUGAACCGGAAACACCUGGAAACAGGUGCCCCGCUUGCGGUCGGUUUACAGGUGGUGCAUGGUUGUCGUCAGCUCGUGUCGUGAGAUGUUGGGUUAAGUCCCGCAACGAGCGCAACCCUCGUUCUAUGUUGCCAGCGCGUUAUGGCGGGGACUCAUAGGAGACUGCCGGGGUCAACUCGGAGGAAGGUGGGGACGACGUCAAAUCAUCAUGCCCCUUAUGUCUUGGGCUUCACGCAUGCUACAAUGGCCGGUACAAAGGGUUGCGAUACUGUGAGGUGGAGCUAAUCCCAAAAAGCCGGUCUCAGUUCGGAUUGGGGUCUGCAACUCGACCCCAUGAAGUCGGAGUCGCUAGUAAUCGCAGAUCAGCAACGCUGCGGUGAAUACGUUCCCGGGCCUUGUACACACCGCCCGUCAAGUCACGAAAGUUGGUAACACCCGAAGCCGGUGGCCUAACCCCUUGUGGGAGGGAGCUGUCGAAGGUGGGACUGGCGAUUGGACUAAGUCGUAACAAGGUAACC